UACAGAGGUCUCAAGCGUUGUUCGGAUUCAUUGGGCGUAAAGGGUGCGUAGGUGGCGCUGUAAGUCGGGUGUGAAAUUUCGGAGCUUAACUCCGAAACUGCAUUCGAUACUGCGGUGCUUGAGGACUGGAGAGGAGACUGGAAUUCAUGGUGUAGCAGCGAAAUGCGUAGAGAUCAUGAGGAAGACCAGUGGCGAAGGCGGGUCUCUGGACAGUUCCUGACACUGAGGCACGAAGGCCAGGGGAGCAAACGGG
rnacentral:rRNA from 1 species